AACGAACGCUGGCGGCAGGCCUAACACAUGCAAGUCGAGCGAAGCCUUCGGGUUUAGCGGCGGACGGGUGAGUAACGCGUGGGAAUAUGCCCUUUGGUACGGAACAGUCCCGGGAAACUGGGUUUAAUACCGUAUGUGGUCCUUCGUAGUGGAUACGGGGGACGAAAGAUUUAUCGCCAAAGGAUUAGCCCGCGUUGGAUUAGGUAGUUGGUGGGUAACGGCCUACCAAGCCGACGACCCAUAGCUGGUUUGAGAGGAUGAUCAGCCACACUGGGACUGAGACACGGCCCAGACUCCUACGGGAGGCAGCAGUGGGGAAUCUUAGACAAUGGGGGCAACCCUGAUCUAGCCAUGCCGCGUGAGUGAUGAAGGCCUUAGGGUUGUAAAGCUCUUUCAGCUGGGAAGAUAAUGACGGUACCAGCAGAAGAAGCCCCGGCUAACUCCGUG
rnacentral:rRNA from 1 species